rnacentral:rRNA from 1 species
UACGGAGGAGGCAAGCGUUAUCCGGAAUUAUUGGGCGUAAAGCGUCCGCAGGUGGCUAUGUAAGUCUGCUGUUAAAGAGUGAGGCUCAACCUCAUAAGAGCAGUGGAAACUACAUGGCUAGAGUGCGUUCGGGGCAGAGGGAAUUCCUGGUGUAGCGGUGAAAUGCGUAGAUAUCAGGAAGAACACCGGUGGCGAAAGCGCUCUGCUAGGCCGCAACUGACACUGAGGGACGAAAGCUAGGGGAGCGAAUGGG